GACGAGCGCUGGCGGUGCGCCUCAUACAUGCAAGUCGAACGAUGAGGCCCUUUCGGGGGUACAUCAGUGGCGGACGGGUGAGUAACACGUAGGUAACGUGCCUUUUACUGGGGGGAUAACAGCGGGAAACCGCUGCUAAUACCGCAUACGAUACGGAUUGUAAUAUUUGUAUUUAAAGCUCCGGCGGUAAAAGAUCGGCCUGCGUCUGAUUAGCUUGUUGGUAGGGUAAUGGCCUACCAAGGCUACGAUCAGUAGUUGGUCUGAGAGGAUGGCCAGCCACAGUGGGACUGAGACACGGCCCAC
rnacentral:rRNA from 1 species